GACGCAUCACUGGUGUUCGGGUUGUCAUGCCAAUGGCACUGCCCGGUAGCUAAAUGCGGAAGAGAUAAGUGCUGAAAGCAUCUAAGCACGAAACUUGCCCCGAGAUGAGUUCUCCCUGACUCCUUGAGAGUCCUGAAGGAACGUUGAAGACGACGACGUUGAUAGGCCGGGUGUGUAAGCGCAGCGAUGCGUUGAGCUAACCGGUACUAAUGAACCGUGAGGCUUAACCUUACAACGCCGAAGGUGUUU
rnacentral:rRNA from 1 species